rnacentral:rRNA from 1 species
AGAGUUUGAUCAUGGCUCAGAAUCAACGCUGGCGGCGUGCCUAACACAUGCAAGUCGAACGCGAAAGUGGAGCAAUCCAUGAGUAGAGUGGCAAACGGGUGAGUAACACGUGGGUGACCUGCCUUCGAGUGGGGGAUAACGUCCCGAAAGGGACGCUAAUACCGCAUAACAUGCUGUCUUUUAAGAGAUGGACAUCAAAGCCGGGGACCGCAAGGCCUGGCGCUUGAAGAGGGGCCCGCGCCUGAUUAGCUAGUUGGUGGGGUAAUGGCUCACCAAGGCAACGAUCAGUAUCCGGCCUGAGAGGGCGGACGGACACACUGGGACUGAGACACGGCCCAGACUCCUACGGGAGGCAGCAGUGGGGAAUUGUUCGCAAUGGGCGCAAGCCUGACGACGCAACGCCGCGUGGAGGAUGAAGACCUUCGGGUCGUAAACUCCUUUCGAUCGAGACGAACGGCCCUUGGGAUAACACCCUGAGGGAGUGACGGUACCGAGAGAAGAAGCCCCGGCUAACUCCGUGCCAGCAGCCGCGGUAAUACGGGGGGGGCAAGCGUUGUUCGGAAUUACUGGGCGUAAAGGGCUCGUAGGCGGCCAACUAAGUCAUACGUGAAAUCCCUCGGCUUAACCGGGGAACUGCGUCUGAUACUGGAUGGCUUGAGUUCGGGAGAGGGAUGCGGAAUUCCAGGUGUAGCGGUGAAAUGCGUAGAUAUCUGGAGGAACACCGGUGGCGAAGGCGGCAUCCUGGACCGAUACUGACGCUGAGGAGCGAAAGCCAGGGGAGCAAACGGGAUUAGAUACCCCGGUAGUCCUGGCCCUAAACGAUGAAUGCUUGGUGUGGCGGGUAUCGAUCCCUGCCGUGCCGAAGCUAACGCAUUAAGCAUUCCGCCUGGGGAGUACGGUCG